rnacentral:misc_RNA from 1 species
GCGAAGACAAGAAAAGGAAUAGUAGCGAUAGUACGGAAGGUAGAGAAGGGACAAAUCCCUCGGUGCUUCCAUCAGCCUCUGAAACGCUCGUCAGCUCAGUUCCUAUCAGCUUACCAACUUUCUCCAUUUUCCACUGACUCUCAGAUGGAGCUUGUCCCUAAUUAUCAGCGAGGAUCGUGGUUUCACAUUGCGAAGGCCAAGUUCUGUAAUUUGAGAUAGUUACUUGGCUGGCACAGCAGCUAGUGAUUAGAUGUGGGAUCUAGCGUCUCGAGGACCGGAUGUAUCGAAACCUCUCCAAUGGUGAAACCGGGAAACCAAGCUAUCGUCGACAAAUGGACACUACGUGUUGCUUGGAAACGGAAGUAGUAUACAGGAAGAACGUGGACACGAUGCAACGGUGGAAGGAAAAAGCGAUGCAGUAAGCGCUCAGACCGGGGACGACGACUCCCCGUUUUUAUGAGACGACUAAACAGCUGUAAGCCCCGCGUUUCGCUUUUUUUCUUUUUACAACCACUUUCCGCUUGACACUUUUGUGAUGCGUACAUAGCAUUCGCAAAGGAUUUAAUUCUUAACAUUUUAAGAACGAUUUUUCCGGUUUUACUGACACUUCUUUAAGAUUUUCGCACCCAGUGGUAUUAUCAGAUCUAUUAGUACGCUCCUCUAAGCUGGAUUUUUCUUUAAUAAAAUGUAUAAAUUAUUCGUUUGUCC